rnacentral:rRNA from 1 species
AUGAGUCUCUUAGUAUGGAACUGUCGCGGGGCAGGCAAACCCGUGACGGCUCGAGAGCUUCGUGAUCUCAUGAGGCAGUUUCCCUCUAUAUUGUGCAUUCUUGAAACUCAGUUAGAGGGAAGUAGAGUUGAGAGUUUAGCUGGUACUUUAGGGUACAAUAAAAAAUUUGAUGUAAGUAGCUCCGGUAGGAGCGGCGGCCUUGGAAUAUUCUGGAAUGAUGAAAUAAAGCUUGAAGUUGUGGGUUACUCGAAGUAUCAUAUUGAUGUGGUCACCGAUGAACUAGUUGAUUUAAAAGCACGGUUUACUUUCGUCUACAGGGAAGCUCAAGUAAAUGAACAUCACAUGACAUGGGAUAUGCUCCGAGGCAUAGUUGGUGCGAAUGAUAUACAUGGGCAGUGA